rnacentral:rRNA from 1 species
GACGAACGCUGGCGGCGUGCUUAACACAUGCAAGUCGAACGGUAAGGCCCUUCGGGUACGACGAGUGGCGAACGGGUGAGUAACACGUGGGUGAUCUGCCCUGCACUUCGGGAUAAGCCUGGGAAACUGGGUCUAAUACCGGAUAGGACCAUGGACUUCACGGUUUGUGGUGGAAAGCUUUUGCGGUGUGGGAUGGGCCCGCGGCCUAUCAGCUUGUUGGUGGGGUAAUGGCCUACCAAGGCGACGACGGGUAGCCGGCCUGAGAGGGUGUCCGGCCACACUGGGACUGAGAUACGGCCCAGACUCCUACGGGAGGCAGCAGUGGGGAAUAUUGCACAAAUGGGCGCAAGUCUGAUGCAGCGACGCCGCG